rnacentral:tRNA from 1 species
GGGGCAGUAGCUCAGUUGGUUAGAGCCCCGGACUCAUAGUCCGAUGUUCCAAACUCAUCUUGGUUACUCGU